GUCUACGGCCAUACCACCCUGAAUGCACCCGAUCUUGUUUGAUCUCGGAAGCUAAGCAGGGUCAGGCCUGGUUAGUACUUGGAUGGGAGAAUAUUGUCGCUAGACC
rnacentral:rRNA from 1 species